rnacentral:rRNA from 1 species
AGUGAACGCUGGCGGCGUGCCUAAUACAUGCAAGUCGAACGGAGUGGCGCACGGGUGAGUAAUAUAUAGCUAAUCUGCCCCUAGCUGGAGGACAACAGUGAGAAAUGACUGCUAAUACCCCAUAGCAAGGGAUGGGGCUAUAUCGUAUCAGCUAGUCGGUGGGGUAACGGCCUACCGAGGCUAUGACGCGUAACUGGUCUGAGAGGAUGAUCAGUCAAAUUGGAACUGAGACACCGUCCAGACUCCUACGGGAGGCAGCAGAAGGGAAUAGUGCGCAAUGGGGGAAACCCUGAAGGGGCAACGCCGCGUGGAGGAUGUCACUUUUGGGAGCGUAAACUCCGUUUGUUAGGGAAUCGGUACCUAACGAAUAAGCACCGGCUAACUACGUGCCAGCCGCCGCGGUAAUAC